CACAUGCUAUCGGAUGCGCCUACGUGGGAUUAGCUAGUUGGUGAGGUAAUGGCUCACCAAGGCGACGAUCUCUAGCUGGUUUGAGAGGAUGAUCAGCCACACUGGAACUGAGACACGGUCCAGACUCCUACGGGAGGCAGCAGUGGGGAAUAUUGGACAAUGGGCGCAAGCCUGAUCCAGCCAUGCCGCGUGUGUGAAGAAGGCCUUCGGGUUGUAAAGCACUUUCAGCGAGGAGGAAGGGUGGUGUGUUAAUAGCACAUCAUUUUGACGUACUCGCAGAAGAA
rnacentral:rRNA from 1 species